UACGGAGGGUGCGAGCGUUGUCCGGAAUCACUGGGCGUAAAGGGCGCGUAGGCGGCAGGCCAAGCGUGCGGUGAAAGUCCGGGGCUCAACCCCGGAUCUGCCGUGCGGACUGGUUUGCUAGAGCACUGUAGAGGCGAGUGGAAUUCCGGGUGUAGCGGUGGAAUGCGUAGAGAUCGGGAAGAACAUCAGUGGCGAAGGCGGCCUGCUGGGCUGUUGCUGACGCUGAGGCGCGACAGCGUGGGGAGCAGACAGG
rnacentral:rRNA from 1 species